AUGUUGUAUGAAGUCGGAUCGUAUGUUCUGAGUGAAGUUGUACCUCGUCGCGAGUACAUAGCCAGGCAUGUAAAGAAGGAUUCGAAAGAGAAGUGGUGUAAAAAUAAAUUCCUUCUUCAGGUGAACGAUCUUGCUGAUGAGUUCAAGUGUGAGUGCGAGAUGUUCGAUCAAUUUGGGAUGUUGUGCGUCCAUGCACUAAUGGUGUCCUUUUUUGCUGCUUGCUAUGUGUGCCGAUCAAAUUAUUAUACGUACUGUUCGCCGGCGCAAAAAAUUGUUCAUCUGAGAUACACUUUUUGUUCUCUGUAG
rnacentral:rRNA from 1 species